rnacentral:rRNA from 1 species
UACGGAGGGGGCUAGCGUUGUUCGGAAUUACUGGGCGUAAAGCGCACGUAGGCGGCUUUGUAAGUUAGAGGUGAAAGCCCGGGGCUCAACUCCGGAAUUGCCUUUAAGACUGCAUCGCUCGAAUUGUGGAGAGGUAAGUGGAAUUCCCAGUGUAGAGGUGAAAUUCGUAGAUAUUGGGAAGAACACCGGUGGCGAAGGCGGCGACCUGGUCCUUGACUGACGCUGAGGCGCGAAAGCGUGGGGAGCAAACAGG